GUCCACGCCGUAAACGAUGGAUACUAGCUGUUGGGAGCGAUCUCAGUGGCUAAGCGAAAGUGAUAAGUAUCCCACCUGGGGAGUACGUUCGCAAGAAUGAAACUCAAAGGAAUUGACGGGGGCCCGCACAAGCGGUGGAGCAUGUGGUUUAAUUCGAUGAUACGCGAGGAACCUUACCAAGGCUUAAAUGUAGAUUGACCGGACUGGAAACAGACCUUUCGCAAGACAAUUUACAAGGUGCUGCAUGGUUGUCGU
rnacentral:rRNA from 1 species